UACAGAGGUCCCAAGCGUUGUUCGGAUUCACUGGGCGUAAAGGGUGCGUAGGUGGCCAGGUAAGUUUGGUGUGAAAGCUCGGAGCUUAACUCCGAAAAGUCAUUGAAUACUAUCUGGCUAGAGGGUCGGAGGGGAGACUGGAAUUCUCGGUGUAGCAGUGAAAUGCGUAGAUAUCGAGAGGAACACCAGUGGCGAAGGCGAGUCUCUGGACGACUCCUGACACUGAGGCACGAAAGCUAGGGGAGCAAACAGG
rnacentral:rRNA from 1 species